UAAUGGGACUUUAAUUUUCAGAUGAAUAUUUAUGAGCUGUUGCCAAGCUUGUUCCGGAAGUUCCCGAGGCAAAGCUGCUGGGUGGGGGCCUGGUUAUGCCUCCCAGGGCCCCCAGGAGGGGCUGGCGCUGUCUGGAACGCGGUCCUAGGUGCCUCGUCCCUGGCGCCUUCGACCUGCCCCUCUGCUCCUCGUCUCAGCCCGCAGUCACCCCAUCAAGCCCACCCUCUGCUCUCAGCCAGAAGCAAGGUGGGGCCCGGGGGGUCCGCUCCUAGGACACCAGACCCCCUUCUGGGGCGCCUGUGACGCAGUAAGGACUGACGCUGACGUCACAGCCUCUGCAGGUGUGGCAGGAGGACUGGCAGGCAGGAAGGCAGCUUUGGAAAGGAAGCCUUGUGACCAGCCGCAGGGAGCGCUCUCUGAGUGACCGAGGCGGUGACAUUUGAGCACAAGCAACAGGCCCAUGCCAGGAGCAGGGAGGCCCAACACAGAGGACCCAGCACGGAGUCCAUGGGCCUGCAGGGACCACCCCCACGGGAAGCAGAAGGAGGCGCUGGCUCCCCCACUGCGCUGCUCUGGGGGGCCCCUCCCCUCAAGGCCCCCCAGGGGCGCCCCUCCCCUCUGAGGCCCCCCGGGGCGCCCCUCCCCUCCGAGGCCCCCCAGGCUCUACCCCAGGCGGGAGGGGCCCUGAUCCGCCCAAGCUCAAAGCUCCCGGGAACUUAGGGCUUUGUCCUAGGCGGUCUGUUUUUCAAAUAAAUUAUAAUGUUUAAUGAUGUGAA